UGGGGAAUCUUGCACAGUGGGGGCAACCCUGAUGCAGCGACGCCGCGUGAGCGAUGAAGCCCUUCGGGGCGUAAAGCUCUUUCGACCGGAACGAUAAUGACGGUACCGGGAGAAGAAGCUGCGGCUAACUACGUGCCAGCAGCCGCGGUAAUACGUAGGCAGCAAGCGUUGUUCGGAGUUACUGGGCGUAAAGAGUGCGUAGGCGGUUUUCUAAGUUCGGCGUGAAAUCUCCCGGCUUAACUGGGAGGGUGCGCCGAAGACUGGGAAGCUGGAGUGUGGGAAAGGCAGGCGGAAUUCCUGGUGUAGCGGUGAAAUGCGUAGAUAUCAGGAGGAACACGGGCGGUGUAGACGGCUUGCUAGACCAUAACUGACGCUGAGGCACGAAAGCGUGGGUAGCAAAC
rnacentral:rRNA from 1 species